rnacentral:tRNA from 1 species
UCUCCUUUAGUUUAGAAUAAAACAUUAGUUUGAAGAGCUGAAGAUAGAUUUUACUAGGGAGGG